AGAGUUUGAUCCUGGCUCAGAACGAACGUUGGCGGUAUGCUUAACACAUGCAAGUCGUACGUGAAAGCUUCCUUCGGGAAGUGAUUAAAGUGGCGCACGGGUGAGUAACACGUGGAUAAUCUACCCGACAAUCAGGGAUAACAUUUCGAAAGGAAUGCUAAUACCUGAUAAGCCUACGCCCUCUUCGGAGGAAGUAGGAAAAGGUGGGGACCUUCGGGCCUGCCGUUGUUGGAUGAGUCCGCGGCCCAUUAGCUAGUUGGUAGGGUAAUGGCCUACCAAGGCUACGAUGGGUAGCUGGUCUGAGAGGAUGAUCAGCCACACUGGAAACUGAGACACGGUCCAGACUCCUACGGGAGGCAGCAGUGGCGGAAUUUUGCGCAAUGGGCGGAAAGCCUGACGCAGCAAUACCGCGUGAGUGAUGAAGGCUCUUGGGUCGUAAAGCUCUGUCAGAGGGGAAGAACCUCCUAACGUAUAAUACACGUUAGGCCUGACGGUACCCUCAGAGGAAGCACCGGCUAACUCCGUGCCAGCAGCCGCGGUAAUACGGAGGGUGCAAACGUUGUUCGGAAUUAUUGGGCGUAAAGAGCAUGUAGGCGGUCUGUCAAGUCUGAUGUGAAAGCCCGGGGCUCAACCCCGGAAGUGCAUUGGAAACUGGCAGACUUGAGUACGGGAGAGGAAAGUGGAAUUUCGAGUGUAGGGGUGAAAUCCGUAGAUAUUCGAAGGAACACCAGUGGCGAAGGCGGCUUUCUGGACCGAUACUGACGCUGAGAUGCGAAAGCGUGGGGAGCAAACAGGAUUAGAUACCCUGGUAGUCCACGCCGUAAACGAUGGGUACUAGGUGUUGCGGGUAUUGACCCCUGCAGUGCCAAAGCUAACGCAUUAAGUACCCCGCCUGGGGAGUACGGCCGCAAGGCUAAAACUCAAAGGAUUGACGGGGG
rnacentral:rRNA from 1 species